rnacentral:piRNA from 1 species
UGUGUGUUGGCUGCAUCGCCUCAGUUCUGC